rnacentral:rRNA from 1 species
UACGGAGGAUCCAAGCGUUAUCCGGAUUUAUUGGGUUUAAAGGGUGCGUAGGUGGCUUUUUAAGUCAGGGGUGAAAGACGGUAGCUUAACUAUCGACAGUGCCUUUGAUACUGAAGAGCUUGAAUAAACUAGAGGUAGGCGGGAAUAUGACAAGUAGCGGUGAAAAUGCAUAGAUAUGUCACAGAACACCAAUUGCGAAGGCAGCUUACUAUGGUUUUAUUGACACUGAGGCACGAAAGCGUGGGGAUCAAACAGG